GAACAUCUUUGCUAUGUUUGUACAAUGCGUAGCACAAUGGAAAUAAUAAUGUUAGAAUUGUAUUGGUCUUAGCCAACCCCUUUAGACUUUACUCUGCCAGCCAGGGCUGAUCCCAGAGCACCAGGGGGGCUUGCUCUUUGAAGGCUAUGCUACUUCGAAGAUCGAGACUAACACGGCUACCCCUCUGAUACUUGACAGCAUGGAUGGUGUAGGAAGAGCUACAUCAGGGAAGAACAGUCACAGCAUGCUGGGCCAUGAGUGACACGGACAUCUCCACGUGUGGUUCUUCUCUGAGGCGGUGUCCUUGCAGCUUUUCCAGGAUUCGAUCUGUUUAAUUCACUGUACAUCAUGCUGGAGAGGUACAGGAGCUCAGCAGGAACACUUAUCUAAAAACAGGUUGAAGGGGGUUCAGUAAAGAAACUCAGUUGGGAGCAGUGAGCUGAUAGCACUGUGUAAGCGCCACAGGCUCUGAAGUCUCUAGGAGUAGCAGAUGCUCCCUCCCCGCUCUCCCGCUCGGUCCUUAGAGCACACCAAAGUGGACUGAACAUUCCCAUAAAAACCACAUUGGCAGCUAACAAGAAUCCACAUGGAAUGGCAAUCCAUUGAGACCAGAGACCCCAGGGAGUGUUAAUGUGGCUGUCCUGUGAUGGGCCGCUCCCCGUGCAGACUGGAAGAUGUAAUAGGAUCACUUGGAAUAAUUUGAUUAUUGUAUGUUCACCAACUGGAAAGUCUAGUUCUAA